rnacentral:rRNA from 1 species
ACUCCUACGGGAGGCAGCAGUUAGGAAUAUUCGGCAAUGGGGGAAACCCUGACCGAGCGACACUGCGUGAAGGAGGAAGGCCUUAGGGUUGUAAACUUCUGAACGAGAGACGAUAAUGACGGUAUCUCGGUAAUAGCACCGGCUAACUCCGUGCCAGCAGCCGCGGUAAUACGGAGGGUGCGAGCGUUAUCCGGAAUCACUGGGCGUAAAGGGCGCGUAGGCGGUUACAUAAGUCCGAUGUUAAAGCGUAGGGCUCAACCCUAUAAAGGCGUUGGAUACUGUGUAACUAGAGACAGAUAGAGGUGCGCGGAAUGCGUCAUGUAGCGGUGAAAUGCAUAGAUAUGACGUAGAACGCCGAUUGUGAAGACAGCGCACUAGGUCUGGUCUGACGCUGAGGUACGAAAGCGUGGGGAGCGAACAGGAUUAGAUACCCUGGUAGGUCAGU